UACGGGGGGAGCAAGCGUUGUUCGGAUUUACUGGGCGUAAAGGGCGCGUAGGCGGUCGUGACAAGUCACUUGUGAAAUCUCCGGGCUUAACUCGGAACGGUCAAGUGAUACUGUCGGACUAGAGUACAGAAGGGGCAACUGGAAUUCUCGGUGUAGCGGUGAAAUUCGUAGAUAUUCGCAAGAACACCAGUGGCGAAGGCGGCUCACUGGCCCGAUACUGACGCUGAGGUGCGAAAGCGUGGGGAGCAAACAGG
rnacentral:rRNA from 1 species